CUAGGGGCUGAAUUGAUUUACUCUAAUAAAGGUAGUACAGCUGGAACAGCAAUUGAAAUUAGAGUCACCACCUGAUUAAUUUUAUGAAAAUUAACUGGUGUUCUGCAAGAUCCAUAUAUCUUCUGCAUACAACAGAUAGAAAAAGGAAUCCAUUCAUUUUCAGAAAAAAAUGACAGUUUUUACAAGCACAGCCUAUGUCUGAGUUCCAGCCACCACCUAAUUGUGUGAUCUUAGCCAAAGGGUCAUUUCACAGGCUACGAGAUGUGGAAUUGCAAGAAUACUGGGGUCAGUUUCAUUCAGG